UUAUAAUUUUCCAUGAUGCAAUUAAAUUUUAAUACACUCGUAUUUCAUUUAUUCAAUCAACAAAAAUUAAUUUAGUGCCUAUGAUGAACCAAGUGUGCCCUCAUAUGCUCAUGUGCCUUACACUCUAUAAGCUUCACAAGAGUGAGAUGGAGCCAUUGGAGUGUUUUAUGUGAAGAAAUAACACACUCUGUGACAGAGCAGGAGCAUCACCAUCUCUGAUAAAUCCCUUGUUCUAAAGUUACCUUAAUAAAAAAAUGCCUAAAUCCAAAGGGCAUCAGCCUAAUGUCUAAAGUCAGCACGGCCAUAAACCACAAAUAACAUCUCCAACCAGAAACAUUCCAAACUCCUCCCUGACCAGAGACAUGCUAGCUUCGAGAUAACGCCCCUCCGGCCGGGAAGAUGUCUGCCCCAAGAUAAACUCACCUCCUCCCAGAAACAUUCCAACCCUGCCAUAAAACUUCUCCCUCACACAGGAAGAUUUCAAGCUUGUAAUAAACGCCUCACCCUAAAACCAAUAUAUAUUCUUAGUCUGUAAAAGAAAGUGCUCCUGACCAAAAUUGGUCAGAAGACCCUGUCAUGUUUUAUCUAAAGUAAACCUGUCUUUAACUGCCAAGCCAUGUUUCAUGUUUCUUUCCUCUUUCUUUAACUCUUACACUCUAACUCACAGUAGCAGGACCACUGUGGAGAGAACAGUCAUGUAGCAGGUAAUGGGACAGUGCUAGAGGUGCUAUUCAGGAGUGACAGAGUGGUGGGGACUAAAGGGAGAGGAGGAAUCCUGAGGAAUGAGAGGGAUGGAGGGAAAGACUGGAGAAGCAGGAGGUGAGGAAAAGGAGCAGAGGGAAAAAAUUCAAAAGCAGCAGAAUUCUUAGGUUUAAACACAUUGUUUAAUAGAUUUUUAAUACAUUCAUCCACAGAGACUCGAAGGGUGUUUUUUUUUUUUUGCAUUUGGUCUUUAAUACCUUAUGUGGGACUGCCUAAAAACUAAUUGCUUUUUAAUCAGGUUUAAAAAAAUACUAAGUGUUCCUAUGAAAUAUGCACACCACUUAGAUGUGGUUACUUUCUAAAAACAGGCAGUGCCUGAGCACUGAUGAGGGGCAUUGUGAUUGCAUUCAGUGCUUGCAACUGUGAGGUGAAUGAAUGUACUAGCUUCUGGUUGCAACAUACAGUAACACAUUGUGCUACUUUGUAUUGACGAGAUGUCCUGGACUCACACGGAAACUCAGGGCUAUGAAAUGAAGGUAAUUUUAAAAUACAAGCCAGAGUCACAGAUAUAUAGUCUGAAAGAGGAAAACUUAGGAGCCUUGUGUGUCCAGUUGUAAUGACAAAGUCACAUUUUUUACAGAUUAGCUUCCUGAUAAUUCAGGGGUUACCAAGAUUCUGCUACUCACUGUAGCUAUUAAACAAAAUGGAAACUGGUCUCUAAUCUCAUGGGCUCAGGCACAAUUUUUUCAGAUUUAAACAAAAAACAACCUCUGUCUUUGCACCUCCAUUCCCAGGACAAGCUCACUCUCUGGAACCAAGCUCCCUGGGGUCCUUUUUCCCGGAUACUGAUGACACGGCGCCAGUGCUCACUCCCAUUGGGUGUCGGGUUUCGAGAGCAGCCAAUCAGCGUCGCCACGGUUCCCGGUUUUAAAGAUCCCGCGGACACACCCCGACUCAGAGUCUCCACAGACGCCAAGGAUGGGAUCUUGGCGCCCCGAACCCUCCUCCUGCUGCUCUCGGGGGCGCUGGCCCUGACCGAGACCUGGGCAGGCUCCCACUCCAUGAGGUAUUUCGGCACCUCAGUGUCCCGGCCCGGCCGCGGGGAGCCCCACUUCAUCUACGUGGCCUACGUGGACGACACGCAGUUCCUGCGAUUCGACAGCGACGCGGCGAUUCCGAGGAUGGAGCCGCUGCGCCGUGGGUGGAGCCGGAGUAUUGGGAGCGGGAGACACGAGGCGCCAAGACCCACGCAGAGAAUUUCCAAGUGAACCUGCGGACCCUGCUCCGCCACUACAACCAGAGCGAGGCCGGGCCUCACACCUUCCAGGAGUUGUACGGCUGCGACCUGGGGCCAGAUGGGCGCUUCCUCCGUGGGUACGACCAGUUCGCCUACGAUGGCAAGGAUUACCUCGCCCUGAACGAGGACCUGCGCUCCUGGACCGCAGGGGACACCACGGCUCAGAUCUCCCGGCGCAAGUGGGAGGUGACCCGUGAGGCGGAGAGGGUGAGAGCCUACCUGGAGGACAGGUGCCUGGAGUGGCUCCGCAGAUACCUGGAGAACAGGAAGGAGACGCUGCAGCGCGCAGAUCCCCCAAAGACACAUAUGACCCACCACCCCGUCUCUGACCAUGAGGCCACCCUGAGGUGCUGGGCCCUGGGCUUCCACCCUGUGGAGAUCACACUGACCUGGCAGCAGGAUGGGGAGGACCAAACUCAGGACACGGAGCUUGUGGAGACCAGGCCCGCAGGGGAUGGAACCUUCCAGAAGUGGGGAGCUGUGGUGGUGCCUUCUGGAGAGGAGCAGAGAUACAUGUGCCAUGUGCAGCAUGAGGGAUUGCUGGAGCCCCUCACCCCGAGAUGGGAGCAGUCUUCCCAGCCCACCAUCCUCAUCGCAGCCAUUGUUGCUGGCCUGAUUGUCCUUGGAGCUGUGGUCACUGCUGUGAUGUGGAGGAAGAAAAGCUCAGGUGGAAAAGGAGGGAGCUACUCUCAGGCUGCGUGUAAGUUGGGGACUGGGAUGUGGAGGAGCUCACCCACCCCCUAAUUCCUCCUGUCCCACGUCUCCUGGGGGCUCUGACCAGCUGCUGUUUUUGUUCUACCCCAGGGAGCAAUGGUGCCCAGGGCUCUGAUGUGUCUCGCUGGGAUUGUAAAGCCUGAGACAGCUGCUUUUUGUGGUACUAAGAUGAUGGGAUUUCCUCAUGCCUCCCCUUUGUGACUUUGUCUGUGUCCCUGUCAGCAUAAUGUGAGGAGGUGGAGAGACAGCCCACCCCCGUGUCCACCGUGACCCCUGUUCCCACGCUGACCUGUGUUCCCUCCCCAGUCAUCUUUCCUGUUCCAGAGAGGUGGGACUGGAUGUCUCCAUCUCAGUCUCAACUUCAUGCUGCAUUGAGCUGCAACCUCUUACUUCCCUACUGAAAAUAAGAAUCUGAAUAGAAAUUUGUUUUCUCAAUAUUUGCCAUGAGAAGUUGAUGGGUUAAUUAAAUAAGUCAAUUCCUAAAAUUUGAGAGAGGAAAUAAAGACCUGAGAACCUUCCAGAAUCCA